GACGAACCGUGCGAACGUUGUUCGGAAUCACUGGGCUUAAAGGGCGCGUAGGCGGCUCGUCAAGUCAGGGGUGAAAUCCCGCAGCUUAACUGCGGAAGUGCCUUUGAUACUGGCGAGCUCGAGGGAGACAGGGGUCUGUGGAACGGGUGGUGGAGCGGUGAAAUGCGUUGAUAUCACUCGGAACGCCGGUGGCGAAAGCGACGGACUGGAUCUCUACUGACGCUGAGGCGCGAAAGCCAGGGGAGCAAACGGG
rnacentral:rRNA from 1 species